CCUACGGUGUGCAGCAGUGGGGGAUAUUGCACAAUGGGGGAAACCCUGAUGCAGCGACGCCGCGUGUGGGAAGACGGUCCUCUGGAUUGUAAACCACUGUCCCCAGGGACGAAAAUGACGGUACCUUGGGAGGAAGCUCCGGCUAACCACGUGCCGGCAGCCGCGGUAAUACGUAGGGAGCGAGCGUUGUCCGGAAUUACUGGGUGUAAAGGGAGCGUAGGCGGGGAUGCAGGUUGGGUGUCAAAACUACCGGCUCAACUGGUAGUCGCACUCAAAACUGCAGCUCUUGGGUGAAGUAGAGGCAGGCGGAAUUCCUAGUGUAGCGGUGAAAUGCGUAGAUAGUAGGAGGAACACCAGUGGCGAAGGCGGCCUGCUGGGCUUUUACUGACGCUGAGGCUCGAAAGCGUGGGGAUCAAACAGGAUUAGAUACCCCAGUAGUC
rnacentral:rRNA from 1 species